rnacentral:rRNA from 1 species
CCUACGGGAGGCAGCAGUGAGGAAUAUUGGUCAAUGGGCGCAAGCCUGAACCAGCCAUGCCGCGUGCAGGAAGAAUGCCCUAUGGGUUGUAAACUGCUUUUAUUUGGGAAUAAACCUCUUUACGUGUAGAGAGCUGAAGGUACCAAAUGAAUAAGCACCGGCUAACUCCGUGCCAGCAGCCGCGGUAAU